CUUCCAUUCACUUGCACAUUACAUUUUCUCUCAUUCUAUAUAUCCUUCCUUUCUAACUAAUUAUUAUAACUCCAUUUCUUGGAUCCAACUUUCUCAUUCUUUUUUCAAAGAAAAUGGGAAUAACCAUUUUGUGUUGUUGUUUCAUGAUGUUGUUUUAUGUUGUCACAAUGGCACAUCAAAAUGUUCAAACUACAACCAAAGAUGAUAUCAAGUGCACACCUUGUGGCACUCCCAACCCACUUCCGCCACCGCCACCUUCUCCACCACCGCCUGCUUCCACCACCAACUGCCCUCCUCCUCCUCCUCCUCCAAGCUCCGGCGGCAGUGGUACGUACUAUUACUCAUCUCCACCGCCACCCUCUCAGUAUACAUACUCAUCACCACCACCACCGGCGUCCAGUGGAGGCGACGGCGGAGGAGGAGGAAUUGGAGGCAUUUAUUAUCCUCCGCCGAGUUACAGCAACUAUCCAGCACCACCACCUCCGAACCCAAUCGUGCCAUAUUUUCCAUUCUAUUACCACAACCCUCCGCCGUCAACGGCGGCUCCUCCGACGUCGAAGGGUUUAAGAUUGUACGCAGCCGCCUUGGUUUCUCUCUGGGUUUGUCUGCUUUAAUAGAGAAGGAAAAAGAAUGUAAAAGGGUGGGAAUAACAGAUCUAAAAGAAGAAAAUAGCAGAGAAAUGAGAGUGAGUGAGGAUUAUGGAAGUAACAAGUACAGUGUACUUUGUUUGGUUUUUCUGAAUCCAGAAAACAAGAAGGGUUUCUCUUUGUCUCACCAACAAUAUCAACCUGUUUCAAGAUACCAUAUUUAUAUAUAUAUAUUGAAUUUCUAUUUUGUGUUAAUGUAGUGUGUUGAGAAAUUGUAAUUGUAU
rnacentral:lncRNA from 1 species